GAUGAACACUGGCGGCGUGCCUAAUACAUGCAAGUCGAGCGAACGGACGAGAAGCUUGCUUCUCUGAUGUUAGCGGCGGACGGGUGAGUAACACGUGGAUAACCUACCUAUAAGACUGGGAUAACUUCGGGAAACCGUAGCUAAUACCGGAUAAUAUUUUGAACCGCAUGGUUCAAAAGUGAAAGACGGUCUUGCUGUCACUUAUAGAUGGAUCCGCGCUGCAUUAGCUAGUUGGUAAGGUAACGGCUUACCAAGGCAACGAUGCAUAGCCGACCUGAGAGGGUGAGCGGCCACACUGGAACUGAGACACGGUCCAGACUCCUACGGGAGGCAGCAGUAGGGAAUCUUCCGCAAUGGGCGAAAGCCUGACGGAGCAACGCCGCGUGAGUGAUGAAGGUCUUCGGAUCGUAAAACUCUGUUAUUAGGGAAGAACAGAUGUGUAAGUAACUGUGCACAUCUUGACGGUACCUAAUCAGAAAGCCACGGCUAACUACGUG
rnacentral:rRNA from 1 species